GAUGAACGCUAGCGGCAGGCUUAAUACAUGCAAGUCGAGGGGCAGCAGGACUGUAGCACUCCAGUUGCUGGCGACCGGCAAACGGGUGCGGAACACGUACGCAACCUACCCAAAACUGGGGGAUAGCCCGGGGAAACCCGGAUUAAUACCUCGUAACCUUUUUAAGUGGCAUCACUUGAUAAGUAUAGCUCCGGCGGUUUUGGAUGGGCGUGCGCCUGAUUAGGUAGUUGGUGCGGGUAACGGCCCACCAAGCCUGCGAUCAGUAACUGGUGUGAGAGCACGACCAGUCACACAGGCACUGAGACACGGGCCCGACUCCUACGGGAGGCAGCAGUAAGGAAUAUUGGUCAAUGGACGCAAGUCUGAACCAGCCAUGCCGCGUGAAGGAUGAAGGUCCUCUGGAUUGUAAACUUCUUUUAUGGGGGACGAAACCCGGAUAUUCUUAUCCGAUUGACGGUACCUCAGGAAUAAGCACCGGCUAACUCCGUG
rnacentral:rRNA from 1 species